CGUAGGGUGCGAGCGUUGUCCGGAAUUAUUGGGCGUAGAGGGCUCGUAGGCGGUUUGUCGCGUCGGGAGUGAAAACAUCCAGCUUAACUGGGUGCUUGCUUUCGAUACGGGCAGACUUGAGGUAUGCAGGGGAGAAUGGAAUUCCUGGUGUAGCGGUGAAAUGCGCAGAUAUCAGGAGGAACACCGGUGGCGAAGGCGGUUCUCUGGGCAUUACCUGACGCUGAGGAGCGAAAGUGUGGGAGCGAACAGGAUU
rnacentral:rRNA from 1 species